AGCCGCCUCAGCGAGGCCGGGAAGUGGGGACGCAGUGGGGGACUCAGGUCCUCCGCUCCCGCCAUUCUCUGGGGAUCCCAGACCACGACCCAUCCCUACCCACCGAGCCACGGGCGGAACAGGCACCUCACGCUGGAAACUGCGGCGGUGAGAGCAGGCACUGUGCUGAGCCUUUACAAGAAUUGGCCUUUUAAUCCUCACAACAAUCCCACUAGUUGAACAGAUGGAAACUCAGAAGUGAGCCCAAGAUCUCGCGGCGAGUAACCCGCGGUCCUGGUGGCAGACGUGAUGAGUGAAAGUCCGCCCCCUAGGGGGUAGCUCGGGAAUCUGUGAGGGCGUUCUUGGUGGUCACAAUGACAGGGAGGCGGAGCCAGACAGUUGCACACGGAAUUGUCCCAUGUCCUGCAUGACGUUUGACUGUCCUGCUAGACAUUCAUGAAGCUAAAAAAACUUAUUUACGAUGAUCUGAGCCUACUCCUUACCCCCUCCCAUCUCAUGAUAGAGGGAAUUAUUUUGCUACUACAGGUAGUGAUAAAGCCCACCACUUUGCAAGAACAUCCUAUUUCCUAAUUGUCUCCACCUUAAUGUGCCGUGGUGUGUUAUCUUUGUUUAAGUUAAGGUGACUUUCGUCUUUCUCUUCUCAUCUGGUCUGUCAUUAUUAUCCCAAUUCUGUUUUUAUUCAAGUGUCCUCCUGUCUUCACUUUCAUUUCCUGGGUAUUAAAGAACUCGCAAAUCAACCAAAUCUAGAAAACAAAAGCUAAAUUGAAUUCUGGCUCAGGCUAGGGAAGGACACAAGCAGAAGUGUUGCUUCUUGUUCAACAGAGGACAAGACUGGGUUAUUCUAGGGUUUGGGGAAGGAUGGAGUUUAGGUAACAUUGAGUUGGAACGUGUUUCACUAGUCUCACAGCAAAGUGGGAGUGUGAGCAGAGAAUAACACCAAGCGUGUCCUGCAGCGCUGGAACCAGAGUUUAAAAAAAAAGGUAGACUGUUGUGUCUGCCCCCUUGCCUGCCCUGGACAGCAGGGCUGGGAGCUGGUGCACAACAAGCCUGAGCUAAAGCAGGAGUGGGCACCCAAGGGUGUGGCCUCUCUGGGUCAACUCGACCCACAUGGUCAGAUCCUUGGGCAAGAGUGGAAAAUUCCACUUUCACAUGUUUCUUAUCUAAACCUCUUCCUUUAAUUCACAUUAAAUAGGUACAAACGCCUGUUUACUUCAUGUCUUCUACCUCAGUAUGUCCAUGUUUUGAAAUAUGUAUUAUUUUAUUAUAAAUUAAUUUCCUUCUGUGUCUUCUUUACA